rnacentral:rRNA from 1 species
AACGAACGCUGGCGGCGUGCUUAACACAUGCAAGUCGAACGGAAUUAGGGGCUUGCUCCUAAUUUAGUGGCGCACGGGUGAGUAACGCGUGGAUAACCUACCCUGGUAUCUGGGAUAACAUCUCGAAAGGGGUGCUAAUACCGGAUAAGCCCACGGUCUCUUCGGGGAUUGCGGGAAAAGAUGGCCUCUAUUUAUAAGCUAUCGUAUCAGGAUGGGUCCGCGUACCAUUAGCUAGUUGGUGGUGUAAUGGACACCAAGGCGACGAUGGUUAGCUGGUCUGAGAGGAUGAUCAGCCACACUGGAACUGAGACACGGUCCAGACUCCUACGGGAGGCAGCAGUGGGGAAUUUUGCGCAAUGGGGGAAACCCUGACGCAGCAACGCCGCGUGAGUGAUGAAGGCCUUCGGGUCGUAAAGCUCUGUCAGAGGGGAAGAAGUGAUAGUGUGCUAAUACCAUAUUAUCUUGACGGUACCCUCAAAGGAAGCACCGGCUAACUCCGUGCCAGCAGCCGCGGUAAUACGGAGGGUGCAAGCGUUGUUCGGAUUUAUUGGGCGUAAAGCGCGUGUAGGCGGUCUUUUAAGUCUGAUGUGAAAGCCCCGGGCUCAACCCGGGAAGUGCAUUGGAAACUGGGAGACUUGAAUACGGGAGAGGGUAGUGGAAUUCCUAGUGUAGGAGUGAAAUCCGUAGAUAUUAGGAGGAACACCGGUGGCGAAGGCGGCUACCUGGACCGAUAUUGACGCUGAGACGCGAAAGCGUGGGGAGCAAACAGGAUUAGAUACCCUGGUAGUCCACGCCGUAAACGAUGAGUACUAGGUGUUGCGGGUAUUGACCCCUGCAGUGCCGCAGCUAACGCAUUAAGUACUCCGCCUGGGAAGUACGGUCGCAAGACUA